rnacentral:rRNA from 1 species
CCUACGGGUGGCAGCAGUGAGGAAUAUUGGUCAAUGGGCGAGCGCCUGAACCAGCCAAGUCGCGUGAGGGAGUACUGACCUAUGGGUUGUAAACCUCUUUUGUCGGGGAGCAAAAGCCGUACGUGUCCGGCUGUUAGUGUACCCGAAGAAAAAGCAUCGGCUAACUCCGUGCCAGCAGCCGCGGUAAUACGGAGGAGGCGUGCGUUAUCCGGAUUUAGUGGGUUGAAAGGGUGCGCAGGCGGAUUUUUAAGUCAGCGGUAAAAUCGUGGGGGUAAACCCCAUUCAGCCGUUGAAACUGGGGAUCUAGAGUGUGCGAGAGGUAUGCGGAAUGCGUGGUGUAGCGGUGAAAUGCAUAGAUAUCACGCAGAACCCCGAUUGCGAAGGCAGCAUACCGGUGCACAACUGACGCUCAGGCACGAAAGCGUGGGGAUCGAACAGGAUUAGAUACCCCAGUAGUC